rnacentral:rRNA from 1 species
AUUGAACGCUGGCGGCAUGCCUUACACAUGCAAGUCGAACGGUAACAGGUCUUCGGAUGCUGACGAGUGGCGAACGGGUGAGUAAUACAUCGGAACGUGCCCGAGAGUGGGGGAUAACGAGGCGAAAGCUUUGUAACUACCGCAUAUGAUCUCAGGAUGAAAGCAGGGGACCGCAAGGCCCUUCGCCCACGGAGCGGCGGAUGGCAGAUUAGGUAGUUGGUGGGAUAAAAGCUUACCAAGCCGACGAUCUGUAGUUGGUCUGAGAGGACCACCAGCCACACUGGGACUGAGACACGGCGCAGACUCCUACGGGAGGCAGCAGUGGGGAAUUUUGGACAAUGGGCGCAAGCCUGAUCCAGCCAUGCCGCGUGCAGGAUGAAGGCCUUCGGGUUGUAAACUGCUUUUGUACGGAACGAAAAGACUCUGGUUAAUACCUGGGGUCCAUGACGGUACCGUAAGAAUAAGCACCGGCUAACUACGUGCCAGCCGCCGCAGUAAGAC